rnacentral:tRNA from 1 species
AACCGCGUAGCUCAGUUGGAAGAGCAUUGGGCUAGUAUUCCAAAGGUUGUAGGUUCGAAUCCCACCGUGGCCG